UAGUUGCAAGGUAUAGACCCGAAACCCGGUGAUCUAGCCAUGGGCAGGUUGAAGGUUGGGUAACACUAACUGGAGGACCGAACCGACUAAUGUUGAAAAAUUAGCGGAUGACUUGUGGCUGGGGGUGAAAGGCCAAUCAAACCGGGAGAUAGCUGGUUCUCCCCGAAAGCUAUUUAGGUAGCGCCUCGUGAACUCAUCUUCGGGGGUAGAGCACUGUUUCGGCUAGGGGGCCAUCCCGGCUUACCAAACCGAUGCAAACUCCGAAUACCGAAGAAUGUUAUCACGGGAGACACACGGCGGGUGCUAACGUCCGUCGUGAAGAGGGAAACAACCCAGACCGCCAGCUAAGGUCCCAAAGUCAUGGUUAAGUGGGAAACGAUGUGGGAAGGCACAGACAGCCAGGAUGUUGGCUUAGAAGCAGCCAUCAUUUAAAGAAAGCGUAAUAGCUCACUGGUCGAGUCGGCCUGCGCGGAAGAUGUAACGGGGCUAAACCAUGCACCGAAGCUGCGGCAGCGACGCUUAGGCGUUGUUGGGUAGGGGAGCGUUCUGUAAGCCGUUGAAGGUGGCCUGUGAGGGUUGCUGGAGGUAUCAGAAGUGCGAAUGCUGACAUAAGUAACGAUAAAGCGGGUGAAAAGCCCGCUCGCCGGAAGACCAAGGGUUCCUGUCCAACGUUAAUCGGGGCAGGGUGAGUCGACCCCUAAGGCGAGGCUGAAAAGCGUAGUCGAUGGGAAACAGGUUAAUAUUCCUGUACUUGGUGUUACUGCGAAGGGGGGACGGAGAAGGCUAGGCUGGCCGGGCGACGGUUGUCCCGGUUUAAGCGUGUAGGGGGUGUGACCUGGUAAAUCCGGUUGCAUACUAACCCUGAGGCGUGAUGACGAUGCACUACGGUGCAGAAGUAGUUGAUGCCCUGCUUCCAGGAAAAUCCUCUAAGCUCCAGGUAACAUUAAAUCGUACCCCAAACCGACACAGGUGGUCAGGUAGAGAAUACCAAGGCGCUUGAGAGAACUCGGGUGAAGGAACUAGGCAAAAUGGUGCCGUAACUUCGGGAGAAGGCACGCUGGCAUGUAGGUGAAGUCCCUUGCGGAUGGAGCUGAAGCCAGUCGAAGAUACCAGCUGGCUGCAACUGUUUAAUAAAAACACAGCACUGUGCAAACACGAAAGUGGACGUAUACGGUGUGACGCCUGCCCGGUGCUGGAAGGUUAAUUGAUGGGGUCAGCCGCAAGGCGAAGCUCUUGAUCGAAGCCCCAGUAAACGGCGGCCGUAACUAUAACGGUCCUAAGGUAGCGAAAUUCCUUGUCGGGUAAGUUCCGACCUGCACGAAUGGCGUAAUGAUGGCCAGGCUGUCUCCACCCGAGACUCAGUGAAAUUGAACUCGCUGUGAAGAUGCAGUGUACCCGCGGCAAGACGGAAAGACCCCGUGAACCUUUACUAUAGCUUGACACUGAACAUUGAGCCUUGAUGUGUAGGAUAGGUGGGAGGCUUUGAAGCGUGGACGCCAGUCUGCGUGGAGCCAUCCUUGAAAUACCACCCUUUAAUGUUUGAUGUUCUAACUC
rnacentral:rRNA from 1 species